rnacentral:sRNA from 1 species
AUUCUAGGCAUACCAUACUCACUGCCAUGCUUACCCUUCAGUUGGGCACCUGUGUCCUCCUUCCCAUUGGCCUUCUGGUUCCUACCCAAGUGUCCAGUCCACGGGUCUCAGUAACACCUCUUUGCCCAGCCCUGUGGUAGCGUUGGCUGCCUCCUUUACCUACUCAAGUAACCGCUUUACCACUAAUUUAUUGUUUUGUGUUUUCAUCUAUAGGAUCUUACCUAGCCAUAUGGUCUGCUGCCUCUGCCAAUUUAAAAAUAGCAUUGAGGCUGUCUCCAAGACAGUCAAGCUGCAUUGCAACACUGCAUGUCUGACUAACAGCAUACAUUGUCCUGAAGAAGCAUCUGUAGGCAAUCCAGAAGGAGCGUUCAUGAAGAUGUUACAAGCCCGGAAGCAGCACAUGAGCACUGAGCUGACUAUUGAGUCGGAGGCGCCCUCAGACAGCAGUGGCAUCAACUUGUCAGGCUUUGGGAGUGAGUAGCUAGACACCAAUGACGAGAGUGAUGUUAGCAGUGCACUAAGUUACAUCUUGCCUUAUCUCUCACUGGGAAAUCUAGGUGCAGAAUCAAUGUUGUUACC